CUUGGGUUGUAAACCUCUUUUCUCAGGAAAGAAGCUCUGACGGUACCUGAGGAAUAAGCAUCGGCUAACUCCGUGCCAGCAGCCGCGGUAAUACGGAGGAUGCAAGCGUUAUCCGGAAUGAUUGGGCGUAAAGCGUCCGUAGGUGGCUAUGCAUGUCUGCUGUCAAAGCGCGGGGCUUAACUCCGUAAAGGCAGUGGAAACUGCAUGGCUAGAGUGUGGUAGGGGUAGAGGGAAUUCCCGGUGUAGCGGUGAAAUGCGUAGAGAUCGGGAAGAACACCGGUGGCGAAA
rnacentral:rRNA from 1 species